AGCAGCCGCGGUAAUUCCAGCUCCAAUAGCGUAUAUUAAAGUUGUUGCAGUUAAAAAGCUCGUAGUUGAAUUUCGGGAUCAAUAUGUUGGUCGUGCCUUGGUACGUACUGGCAUUAUCGAUUCCUACCUUCUGAAGAACCUCGAUGUCAUUAAUUUGGUGUCUUGGGGAAUCAGGACUGUUACUUUGAAAAAAUUAGAGUGUUUAAAGCAGGCUCGCGCUUGAAUACAUUAGCAUGGAAUAAUGAAAUAGGACGUUUGAUUCUAUUUUGUUGGUUUCUAGGAUCGACGUAAUGAUUAAUAGGGAUAGUUGGGGGCAUUAGUAUUCAAUUGUCAGAGGUGAAAUUCUUGGAUUUAUUGAAGACUAACUACUGCGAAAGCAUUUGCCAAGGAUGUUUUCAUUAAUCAAGAACGAAAGUUAGGGGAUCGAAGACGAUCAGAUACCGUCGUAGUCUUAACCAUAAACUAUGCCGACUAGGGAUCGGAU
rnacentral:rRNA from 1 species